rnacentral:rRNA from 1 species
UGCCAGACUCCUACGGGAGGCAGCAGUGGGGAAUAUUGGGCAAUGGGCGCAAGCCUGACCCAGCAACGCCGCGUGCAGGAUGAAGGCCUUCGGGUUGUAAACUGCUUUUAUAAGCGAGAAAUAUGAUGGUAACUUAUGAAUAAGGAUCGGCUAACUACGUGCCAGCAGCCGCGGUCAUACGUAGGAUCCGAGCAUUAUCCGGAGUGACUGGGUGUAAAGAGUUGCGUAGGUGGCAUAAUAAGUAGCUAGUGAAAUCUGGUGGCUCAACCAUUCAGACUAUUAGCUAAACUGUUAAGCUCGAGACCGUUAGGGGUAACUGGAAUUUCUAGUGUAGGAGUGAAAUCCGUAGAUAUUAGAAAGAACACCAAUAGCGUAGGCAGGUUACUGGGACGGUUCUGACACUAAGGCACGAAAGCGUAGGGAGCAAACGGGAUUAGAUACCCUGGUA